rnacentral:sRNA from 1 species
AUUGCCUCAUCGCAAAUUCAAGGGUCCCGGAGAACGAUGAGCGGCGUCGCGGACGUCAUUUUCCUUGCAUCCUCACUCCGGGGACCCUACCUGAAAU